AAAAAAAAGAAUAGUUUUAUGAAAUUUGUGAUAAAUUUUAUAGUCAUAUGUUCCCAAAUGUUGCAUGCAAGUAUAUUGAUAUCAUAGUGUGGCCGUAUUUAAAACUUUACAUUUAUAGUGUUAUCGUAUGUAGAAAUGAAAUCUCAAUUUUGUUGGGAAAAAUAUAAAAUAAGUUUAGCCUGAGAAUUUUGGUUCACACAAUAAUUAAAGAGUGAAG
rnacentral:lncRNA from 1 species